rnacentral:rRNA from 1 species
GUAACGGCGAGUGAAGCGGUAACAGCUCAAAUUUGAAAUCUGGCCUCACGGUCCGAGUUGUAAUUUGUAGAGGAUGCUUCGAGCAUGGUCUGGCCUAAGUUCCUUGGAACAGGACGUCAUAGAGGGUGAGAAUCCCGUAUGCGGCCAGGUGCCUACGCUCAUGUGAAGCUCCUUCGACGAGUCGAGUUGUUUGGGAAUGCAGCUCAAAAUGGGUGGUAAAUUUCAUCUAAAGCUAAAUAUUGGCCAGAGACCGAUAGCGCACAAGUAGAGUGAUCGAAAGAUGAAAAGCACUUUGGAAAGAGAGUUAAACAGUACGUGAAAUUGUUGAAAGGGAAGCGCUUGCAACCAGACUUGCGCGCGGCCGAUCAUCCGGUGUUCUCACCGGUGCACUCGGCCGUGCUCAGGCCAGCAUCGGUUUUGGCGGCUGGAUAAAGGCCCUAGGAAUGUAGCUCCUCUCGGGGAGUGUUAUAGCCUAGGGUGCAAUGCAGCCUGCU